rnacentral:rRNA from 1 species
GAGCGGGGACAGCAAGGGAGCUUGCUCCAAUGUUGUCCUAGCGGCGGACGGGUGAGUAACGCGUGGAUAACCUGCCUUCAGCUGGGGGAUAACGCUGGGAAACUAGCGCUAAUACCGCAUAACGCCUCGGGGCGGCAUCGUUCCGGGGCCAAAGGAGAAAUCCGGCAGAAGAUGGAUCCGCGUCCGAUUAGCUAGUUGGCGGUGCAACGGACCACCAAGGCGACGAUCGGUAGCCGGACUGAGAGGUCGAACGGCCACAUUGGGACUGAGACACGGCCCAGACUCCUACGGGAGGCAGCAGUGGGGAAUAUUGCGCAAUGGGGGAAACCCUGACGCAGCGACGCCGCGUGAAGGAUGAAGGUCCUCGGAUUGUAAACUUCUUUGAUUGGGGACGAAGAAAUGACGGUACCCAAAAAACAAGCCACGGCUAACUACGUGCCAGCAGCCGCGGUAAUACGUAGGUGGCGAGCGUUGUCCGGAAUUACUGGGUGUAAAGGGCGUGUAGGCGGGACUGUAAGUCAGAUGUGAAAUGCCGCGGCUCAACUGCGGAAUUGCAUCUGAAACUACGGUUCUUGAGUGCUGGAGAGGAAAGCGGAAUUCCUAGUGUAGCGGUGAAAUGCGUAGAUAUUAGGAGGAACACCAGUGGCGAAGGCGGCUUUCUGGACAGCAACUGACGCUGAGGCGCGAAAGCGUGGGGAGCAAACAGGAUUAGGUACCCUGGUAGUCCACGCUGUAAACGAUGGACACUAGGUGUGGGAGGUAUCGAUCCCUUCCGUGCCGGCGUUAACACAAUAAGUGUCCCACCUGGGGAGUACGGCCGCAAGGUUGAAACUCAAAGGAAUUGACGGGGGCCCGCACAAGCAGUGGAGUAUGUUGUUUAAUUCGACGCAACGCGAAGAACCUUACCAGGGCUUGACAUCCCGCGAAUAAUGCGGAAACGCAUGAAGCCUUUCGGGGCGCGGAGACAGGUGGUGCAUGGUUGUCGUCAGCUCGUGUCGUGAGAUGUUGGGUUAAGUCCCGCAACGAGCGCAACCCUUUUCGUCAGUUGCCAUCAUUAAGUUGGGCACUCUGGCGAUACUGCCGGUGACAAAUCGGAGGAAGGUGGGGAUGAGGUCAAAUCAUCAUGCCCCUUAUGUCCUGGGCUACAAACGUACUACAAUGGCUAUAACAACGGGAAGCAAUGGAGCAAUCCGGAGCCAAUCCCCAAAAAUAGCCUCAGUUCGGAUUGUGGGCUGAAACCCGCCCGCAUGAAGUCGGAAUUGCUAGUAAUGGCAGGUCAGCAUACUGCCGUGAAUACGUUCCCGGGC